ensembl:rRNA 5S_rRNA 5S ribosomal RNA
ACCACUGUUUCUCACAUUCUCAUUGCAACUCUCACAUGGUCGCCCACUGAAGCUAAGCAGGGCUGUGCCUGGUCAGUACCUGGAUGGGAGACCACAUGGGAAAGCUAGGUUGCUGCCGGAA